AGUGAACGCUGGCGGUAGGCCUAACACAUGCAAGUCGAACGGCAGCACAGUAAGAGCUUGCUCUUACGGGUGGCGAGUGGCGGACGGGUGAGGAAUACAUCGGAAUCUACUUUUUCGUGGGGGAUAACGUAGGUAAACUUACGCUAAUACCGCAUACGACCUACGGGUGAAAGCAGGGGAUUUUCGGACCUUGCGCGAUUGAAUGAGCCGAUGUCGGAUUAGCUGGUUGGCGGGGUAAAGGCCCACCAAGGCGACGAUCCGUAGCUGGUCUGAGAGGAUGAUCAGCCACACUGGAACUGAGACACGGUCCAGACUCCUACGGGAGGCAGCAGUGGGGAAUAUUGGACAAUGGGCGCAAGCCUGAUCCAGCCAUACCGCGUGGGUGAAGAAGGCCUUCGGGUUGUAAAGCCCUUUUGUUGGGAAAGAAAAGCAGCAGGUUAAUACCACGCUGUUCUGACGGUACCCAAAGAAUAAGCACCGGCUAACUUCGUG
rnacentral:rRNA from 1 species